rnacentral:lncRNA from 1 species
CAGCGAAAAAGGCCGCCCGCAAUGUGCAAGCCGCAAAACGCCGCAAACUGGCGAGGUUAAUGUCCGAUGAUCAGGGCACGAGUUCUGAUGAUGGUGAAGAUGAUGUUGUUCCAAAAAAAUUGCUCUUGGCAGAGCAGCAAAAAAAAUGCAGCCCUGUGUCGGAAGCUGGCAGCACUCCGAAAAGAAAAAGAUGAGCUGCAAGCACGUCACGACCGCCUGGAGGACCACCUUCUCAACAAACUGGAUUCCUGGUUCACAGCAACUUGCCAACGUUGUUGCAAGGAAAACAGUGUACCUUGCCCGAAUGCCACACCUCCAAAUAUUGGUGCAGAUGACAGUGGA